ACGGCCGUACCAUACUGAAUAUAUCGGUUCUCGUUAGAACACCGAAGUCAAGCAUCAUUGGGCGCGGUCAGUACUUGGGUGGGUGACCA